GUCUUUGCUAGGUAAAGCUCCACCUUAUCUCAGCUCACUGGUCACCAUAGCAACACCCACCCAUAGCAUUCGCUCCAGCAGGUAUAUCUCACUGGUCACCAUAGCAACACCCACCCGUAGCACGCGCUCCAGCAGGUAUAUCUCACUGGUCACCAUAGCAACACCCACCCGUAGCACGCGCUCCAGCAGGUAUAUCUCACUGGUCACCAUAGCAACACCCACCCGUAGCACGCGCUCCAGCAGGUAUAUCUCACUGGUCACCAUAGCAACACCCACCCGUAGCACGCGCUCCAGCAUGUAUAAAUUGCCUUUAAAUUGUUUAACUCGGGUCAAACGUUUCAGGUAGCCUUCCACAAGCUUCCCACAAUAAUGUGGGGAAUUUUGGCCCAUUCCUCCUGACAGAGCUGGUGUAAUUGAGUCAGGUUUGUAGGCCUCCUGACAGAGCUGGUGUAAUUGAGUCAGGUUUGUAGGCCUCCUGACAGAGCUGGUGUAAUUGAGUCAGGUUUGUAGGCCUCCUGACAGAGCUGGUGUAAUUGAGUCAGGUUUGUAGGCCUCCUGACAGAGCUGGUGUAAUUGAGUCAGGUUUGUAGGCCUCCUGACAGAGCUGGUGUAACUGAGUCAGGUUUGUAGGCCUCCUGACAGAGCUGGUGUAACUGAGUCAGGUUUGUAGGGCUCCUGACAGAGCUGGUGUAAUUGAGUCAGGUUUGUAGGCCUCCUGACAGAGCUGGUGUAACUGAGUCAGGUUUGUAGGGCUCCUGACAGAGCUGGUGUAAUUGAGUCAGGUUUGUAGGCCUCCUGACAGAGCUGGUGUAAUUGAGUCAGGUUUGUAGGCCUCCUUGCUCGCACAUGAUUUUCAGUUAUGCCCACACAUGUUCUAUAUGAUUGAGGUCAGGGCUUUGUGAUGGCCGCUCCAAUACCUUGACUUUGUUGUACUUAAGCCAUUUUUCCACAACUUUGGAAGUAUGCUUGGGGUCAUUGUCCAUUUGGAAGACCCAUUUGUGACCAAGCUUUAACUUCCUGACUGAUGUCUUGAGAUGUUGCCAUCAAUAUAUCCACCUAAUUUUCCUCCUCAUGUUGUCAUCUAUUUUGUGAAGUGCACCAGUCCCUCCUGCAGCAAAGCACCCCCAAAACAUGAGGCUGCCACCCCUGUGCUUCACGGUUGGGAUGGUGUUCUUCGGCUUGCAAGCCUCCCCCUUUUUCCUCCAAACAUAACGAUGGUCAUUAUGGCCAAACAGUUCUAUUUUUGUCUUUGUCCCCAUGUGCAGUUGCAAGCCGCAGUCUGGCUUUUUAAAGGUGGUUUUUGGAGAAGUGGAUUCUUCCUUGCUUAGCGGCUUUUCAGGUUAUGUCGAUAGGACUCGUUUUACUGUGGAUAUAGAUACUUUUGUACCUGUUUCCUCCAGCAUCUUCACAAGGUCCUUUGCUGUUGUUCUGGGAUUGAUUUGCACUCUCUCACCGAAGUACAUUCAUCUCUAGGAGACAGAUCGCGUCUCCUUCCUGAGCAGUAUGACGGCUGCAUGGUCCCAUGGUGUUUAUACUUGCGUAUUAUUGUUUGUACAGAUGAACGUGGUACCUUCAGGUGUUUGGAAAUUGCUCCCAAGGAUGAGCCAGACUUGUGGAGGUCUACAAUUAUUUUUCUGAGUUCUCGGCUGAUUUAUUUUGAUUUUCCCAUGAUGGGGCACUGAGUUCCCAAAGAGGCACUGAGUUUCAAGGUAGACCUUGAAAUACAUCCACAGGUACACCUCCAAUUGACUCAAAUUAUGUCAAUUAGCCUAUCAGAAGCUUCUAAAGCCAUGACAUAAUUUUCUGGAAUUUUCCAAGCUGUUUAAAGGCACAGUCAACUUAGUGUAUGUAAACUUCUGACCCACUGGAAUUGUGAUACAGUUAAUUAUAAGUGAAAUAAUCUGUCUGUAAACAAUUGUUGGAGAAAUUACUUGUGUCAUGAACAAAGUAGAUGUCCUAACCGACUUGCCAAAACUAUAGUUUGUUGACAAGAAAUGUUUGGAGUGGUUGAAGAACGAGUUUUAAUGACGCCAACCAAAGUGCAUGUAAACUUCCGACUUCAACUGUAGCUUCUUCCCCAUAUUCCUUUGUUUUUCUGCUCUUUAACACACCAGUAUUUCUACUCGCACAUCCUCAUCUGCACAUGUAUCACUCCAGUGUAAAUGGCUAAAUUGUAAUUACUUCGUCGCUAUUGGCCUAUUUACUUCAUUUGUACACACUGCAUACAGAUGUUCUAUUUUAUUAUUGACUGUAUGUUUGUUUUACUCCAUGUGUAACUCUGUGUUGUUGUUUGUGUCACACUGCUUUGCUUUAUCUUGGGCCAGGUUGCAGUUGUAAAUGAGAACUGGUUCUCAACUGGCCUACCUGGUUAAUUAAACUUGAAAUUAAAAAUAAACAUACAGAGAGACUUA